UCACAUUUUUAAAUGUACCAAUUACUUUAGUAUUUUUAAAAAAUUUCUUGACACUGUUGAAUUUCUCCUUUGAAGUUUUAGUUCUGUAGACAUGUAGUCAAAAUAUGUGUUCCUAGCUAAAACAGAUAACUUUUCUGGAAGAAACCUUAAACCUUUUUAAAAAAAAAAAAUGUCCCUAGGUUCAUUUAUUUAAUAUUUUUAAUGCAUACUGUGUGCUAGAUGGUGGGCAUAUAAAGGUGAGCCACAACUUUUAUGGUCUA
rnacentral:lncRNA from 1 species